rnacentral:lncRNA from 1 species
CUUUGAUAUAUUCUAUGUCUAAGAAAAUAGACUGUACUGUUGUUAUUCCUUCCCUGCAUCCUGGACAUUCGUUUUGCCUCUUUAUCCAGGUAUUGAUACAAACAUUACAGUAAAUAUGACCACAAGGUAUACAACACACUGGUUGUUUUAGCAGAUCGAGGCAUAUAUUGCAUGUUGCCAUUGCUGCUCUUUACCUAUCCUACUUCGUGAGUUCGUGUAUAAAAUGAUAUAUUUACAUAAUAUAACAUUUAAAACUGAACUGGCAAGCAACGUAAAACGAGUUCCUAAUGUACUUAGCUAUUGAUGUCUA